AGAGGGGGGCUACUAUACUAUCUAUAGUAUCAGAGUUUCGGUACUAUUGUCUCGUUUUCCAUCUUAAGGUAUAGGGUAUAUAUGAUAAGAAUAAAAUUUUGAAUUCAAGAUCAAGAAUGUUGACCUUGAUCUAGAUAGUAUAAAAUAUUUUCUAUCAAAAAUUGAAUAAAUUUAGAUAGUUUUGCACAGUUAAACUACAAACUCACCGUAGUAACCAUUGAAAAUUGACAAUUUUCAAAUGAUUUGAUCAUAAAAUAAACUUUGUCAAAAAAAUAUAAAAUUUUAUUCCUAAAAAUUUCAAAUAUCCUACACUAGUUUUAAUGGUAAGGAUCGUUGAUUUGAACAUUUUAAGGUUGAAAACGAGAUUAUAGGAUCAGAGUCUUGAUACUAUAGAUAUUAUAGGAG
rnacentral:lncRNA from 1 species